AUUGAACUCUGGCGGCAGGCCUAACACAUGCAAGUCGAACGAGUGGCGGACGGGUGAGUAAUGUCUGGGAAACUGCCUGAUGGAGGGGGAUAACUACUGGAAAAGGUAGCUAAUACCGCAUACCAUCAGAUGUGCCCAUAUGGGAUUAUCUUGUUGGUGGGGUAAAGGCUCACCUAGGCGACGAUCCAUAGCUGGUCUGAGAGGAUGACCAGCCACACUGGAACUGAGACACGGUCCAGACUCCUACGGGAGGCAGCAGUGGGGAAUAUUGCACAAUGUGCGCAAGCCUGAUGCAGCAAUGCCGCGUGUAUGAAGAAGGCCUUCGGGUUGUAAAGUACUUUCAGCGGGGAGGCGUUACCCGCAGAAGAAGCACCGGCUAACUCCGUGCCAGCAGCCGCGGUAAUAC
rnacentral:rRNA from 1 species